CCUACGGGAGGCAGCAGUGAGGAAUAUUGGGCAAUGGGCGUAAGCCUGAACCAGCCAAGUCGCGUGAGGGAUGAAGGUUCUAUGGAUCGUAAACCUCUUUUAUAAGGGAAUAAAGAGUGGGACGUGUCCUGUUUUGUAUGUACCUUAUGAAUAAGGAUCGGCUAACUCCGUGCCAGCAGCCGCGGUAAUACGGAGGAUCCGAGCGUUAUCCGGAUUUAUUGGGUUUAAAGGGUGCGUAGGCGGCCUUUUAAGUCAGUGGUGAAAGUCUGUGGCUAAACCAUAGAAUUGCCGUUGAAACUGGGAGGCUUGAGUAUGUUUGAGGCAGGCGGAAUGCGUGGUGUAGCGGUGAAAUGCUUAGAUAUAACGAAGAACACCGAUUGCGAAGGCAGCCUGCCAAGCCAUGACUGACGCUGAUGCACGAAAGCGUGGGGAUCAAACAGGAUUAGAUACCCCUGUAGUC
rnacentral:rRNA from 1 species